rnacentral:rRNA from 1 species
CCUACGGGCGGCAGCAGUGGGGGAUAUUGGACAAUGGGGGGAACCCUGAUCCAGCGACGCCGCGUGAGUGAAGAAGUAUUUCGGUAUGUAAAGCUCUGUCAGCAGGGAAGAAAGCAAUGACGGUACCUGACCAAGAAGCCCCGGCUAACUACGUGCCAGCAGCCGCGGUAAUACGUAGGGGGCAAGCGUUAUUCGGAAUUACUGGGUGUAAAGGGGGCGUAGACGGCUGUGCAAGUCUGGAGUGAAAGGCGGGGGCCCAACCCCCGGACUGCUCUGGAAACUGUAUGGCUGGAGUGCAGGAGAGGUAAGCGGAAUUCCUAGUGUAGCGGUGAAAUGCGUAGAUAUUAGGAGGAACACCAGUGGCGAAGGCGGCUUACUGGACUGUAACUGACGUUGAGGCUCGAAAGCGUGGGGAGCAAACAGGAUUAGAUACCCUGGUAGUC